AGAGUUUGAUCAUGGCUCAGGAUGAACGCUGGCGGCAUGCCUAAUACAUGCAAGUCGAACGAAGUGCUUUAUGCACUUAGUGGCGAAUGGGUGAGUAACACGUAUUUAAUCUACUUAAUAGUGAGGGACAACAGUUAGAAAUGACUGCUAAUACCGCAUAGUAUAUUUUAUGGCAUCAUAAAAUAUUUAAAGGGGCUUCGGCGUCGCUAUUAGAUGAGGAUGCGGCGUAUUAGCUUGUUGGUAAGGUAAUGGCUUACCAGGGAAUUAUACGUAGCCGGCCUGAGAGGGUGAACGGCCCAUCGGGACUGAGACACGGCCCGGACUCUACGGGAGGCAGCAGUAAGGAAUUUUUCACAAUGGACGAAAGUCUGAUGGAGCAAUGCCGCGUGAUUGAUGACGCCUUAGGGUUGUAAAAAUCUGUUAUAGAGAAAGAAUUGUCAGUAUAGGAAAUGAUAUUGGCUUGACGGUACUUUAUCAGAAAGACACGGCAAACUAUGUGCCAGCAGCCGCGGUAAUACAUAGGUGUCAAGCGUUAUCCGGAUUUAUUGGGCGUAAAGAGUGCGCAGACGGUAUGAUAAGUUUGAGGUUAAAGGCUAGGGCUUAACCCUAGUUCGCCUUGAAAACUGUCUUACUAGAGUGUGGUAGAAGUUGAUGGAAUUUCAUGUGUAGCGGUGGAAUGCGUAGAUAUAUGAAGGAACACCAGUGGCGAAGGCGAUCAACUAUGCUAUUACUGACGUUCAUGCACGAAAGCGUGGGGAGCAAAUAGGAUUAGAUACCCUAGUAG
rnacentral:rRNA from 1 species